AAUAUAUCUACAAUACUGUAAAUAUUUAGGCAUUCUAUGUUUGCACAGACUUGAAAAAUUAUGACCUAGAGCUUUCUGUCGGCCCUCAUUGUUUAACUCAGACAUUUAGAGUUGCUUUAUUGAUUUUUCAUUCAGUCCUAAAGUGGAUUCUAAACACUGUGAAAUUACAAGCCCAAUAAUUGCUGUUUUAAAGUUUUUACACUUAAUGGGAUAGUUCGCAUUUGUUUGUAUUUUGAUUGGAUUUGAACAGGAAACAGGGAGAGGUCCUGCAGACAGUUUGCUUCCAUGCAACUGCAUAACAUCUCAAAUACAGAACAAAAUGGAGUCGCUUAUGUCUACUUCUUUCUAUAUAGACACAGUAACAGGCUGAUCUUUCUUUCUUUUCCCCACAAGAGAGGAAGGAAGGAAGGAAGGAAAGAAGGAAGGAAGGAAGAAAGGAAGGAAGGAAGGAAGGAAAAGUUGAGGGAUAAAAGACAACAUAUUGGGCAGAGUAUACACUGCUUGGGUGACAGGUGCACUAAAAUCUCAGAAUUCACUACAAAACAACUCAUUCAUGUAACCAAAAACUCCCUGUACCCCCCCAAAAUUGAAAUUUUUAAAAUUAUAAUUACAAAAAAAGAAAAAGAAGAGUUUACUUGAUCUUAGUGACCACAUAUGUGAGGUUGUUAUGCCCAGACUGUUUAUUCCCCGAAGAAGACCACCAGAGUCCAGAGUCAAAGCUAAGCAGCAAGGAUCUUUAUUACAGGUUCGAACCUGGAACUCUCCCUCGCUCGCAAAACGAGACGGGCAGGAGAGCUCCCCCACUGAGCUCCGAGCAGUGUUAUAUAGUCUAAGAAAAGUGGGCAUAGAGUUAUUAUACAAAUCAGAUAUAUGAUUGGCUAGUGUUUGAACAAGGCGAUUUGGCUAACUAUGAUUGGUUCCCGCCAUUUCUGAUAUUUCGGUUCAACCUUUGAGGCGGGAGAGCAGGUUUAUGGCAGCAAGAGUUCAUCUUACUUAAACACGUCUUGUGACCUUGCCUCAGAACUUACAAAAUCUCUGGUACGUGCAGAAAAACAGGUACUCACAGAACUUACGAAAUCUCUGGUAUGUGCAAAGAUUAGAGAGCAGAACAAAGGGUGUAGCGGGGGGGGGCGGGUACACAUCUAUCUUUGUGUCCUUUCAAGGUGUGUGUUUUCCUCCAGCGUAAUUUCACCUUGCAGGCCUAGAUGCAGAGAAGACAUGGGUUGCAUUCAACCUGGUUUAGGAAGUCACCAAGAGAGCUGACAGACUGAAAAGAUAUUAUAGUAAAAUAAGUGGAUUGAAGUUCCCAGCCAAAA
rnacentral:lncRNA from 1 species